rnacentral:lncRNA from 1 species
CGUUAGACAAAUCGGUAGUGUCCUAAGAUCGAUUUCAUCGUCCGAUGACCCAUUUAGGGGAUAUUUGGCCCGUUUGACAAGGAAACAUCCGCACCAUAUGGAUCUUCACCUCAACAUUGUAUGCAACUACGCAAGGCCUAAUAUUCUACAAAACUUCUUCUUCUCAACCAAUCCAAUCAGUCUCUCCCGUGGGGCUUGUCCGUUUCGUGAUUUCUCCCACAUCGUG